UAAAAGAUGAUUGUGUUUUUUGUUAGGAAAAAGAGCAAACUCACAUAUAAUAUGGUACAUACAAAAGAAAAAAAAAAAAAAAAAAAGAAAAAGGAUAGUCUGCAGUCCCUUAUGCCACCAAAGCUUCUCUUAAUAUGAUUCAAAUACCUUUCUCAAAAGGAAUGUGUGAACUAGUAUAUUAAGCAGCACAAGCCGGACACCGUGACCCAGACAAGCUCUACCAAGUUGUGUUUCUCUGAAGCAAAUGGGAAUUUUGUUGUAGACUUCACAGGGCCUGCAUUUGGCAAACUAUCAGUGUAACAACAGCUUAGAUAGGCACAUAAAAGUAUCAGACAGUUUUGUGCAUUCAGUUCACACACACUGAGGGGGUGCUUGCCCCAAAACGAUUAUUUUAGAGAAGAUGAUGACUUCUGGCUGCAUUAAAUGUCAUUUCAGGAAUUAAAAAGAGACCAGAGAAACAAAGGAGUCAACCACAGAGAACCCUACAAGAAUCAGGAGAAGCUGCAGUACUGAAGGGACCUUGGGGCAGCCUCAACCUCAGCAAGGUCCAAAGCUGCCCCAAGUCCCCUGGGGUUUCCGGCCCAGCCCCCUGGGCAGCGCAUCCCAGCACAGGGACUCAGCUGACACCUGUUAGCGCCAGCAGCCCCAGGGAGCCCAUGGGAGACCCCAUCCUCAAAGUUAACAUGCAUCAACAAGAAAUCAAGAAGUUCACUUGAUCGUCUGCUUUGGAGAAAAUUUGACUGUUACGGUAAUCAAUUUUUAAUUAUCCUUUCUGGCACUAUAAUAACAUGGUGAUUAGUGUUUCUGACAGAAUCCCGGAAGACAAUUAUGCAACAUGAACUAUUCCAAAAAGUGACGUUACUGCCUGGAAACAAGUCACAGAUCCAUGGUUUUCUCACCUGAAGGGAUCUUGCACUACCUCUUCACUAGUGCAUUCUGUGACUUAAUGUGUUCUACAGCAGUUUGAAUCAUGAAUAACAAAACUCGUCUAAACAGUUCUGAUUUUUUUUGAAAAUGUCUGUAGCUCUGACAUAGCUUUAUUGCUUUGUGCAAAAAGAUCUGCCAAUUAUGCUAUCAUCUAGAAAAUUACAUAUUAAAAUGUAAGGAAAAAAAUCCCAAAGCUUUCUUAAAGUUUUUCCCAUGAUUUAUGUUCAGGUUCCA
rnacentral:lncRNA from 1 species